AUUGAACGCUGGCGGCAGGCUUAACACAUGCAAGUCGAGCGGAGAGAGGUAGCUUGCUACCGAUCUUAGCGGCGGACGGGUGAGUAAUGCUUAGGAAUCUGCCUAUUAGUGGGGGACAACAUUUCGAAAGGAAUGCUAAUACCGCAUACGUCCUACGGGAGAAAGCAGGGGAUCUUCGGACCUUGCGCUAAUAGAUGAGCCUAAGUCGGAUUAGCUAGUUGGUGGGGUAAAGGCCUACCAAGGCGACGAUCUGUAGCGGGUCUGAGAGGAUGAUCCGCCACACUGGGACUGAGACACGGCCCAGACUCCUACGGGAGGCAGCAGUGGGGAAUAUUGGACAAUGGGCGGAAGCCUGAUCCAGCCAUGCCGCGUGUGUGAAGAAGGCCUUAUGGUCGUAAAGCACUUUAAGCGAGGAGGAGGCUACUUUAGUUAAUACCUAGAGAUAGUGGACGUUACUCGCAGAAUAAGCACCGGCUAACUCUGUGCCAGCCGCCGCGGUAAAAC
rnacentral:rRNA from 1 species